GCAUCAAUGGGGUAGUGGUAACCUGGGUCAUUGCCAUAUUUGACUAAACUGUACGCAUCUCUUCAACCUGCCGGGGGUUUGAUUCCCCCUUGAUGCA